rnacentral:tRNA from 1 species
CGGGGUGUAGCUCAAUUGGCAGAGCGUUCGGUUCGGGACCGAAAGGUUCUCGGUUCAAGUCCGAGCACCCCGA